rnacentral:lncRNA from 1 species
ACUCCCUCCAAAAGGUGGGACAAGUAUUUGAGAAAACAUGCAUGCAAUAUCUCAAAAUCAUAUAUCAUAAGAUAUUUCUUUUAUAAUGAAGUUGAAUUCAUACUUGAGUAGCAUUCAUCAUGUCAUUUCUACAUAGACUCAGAUUUGGCAUGCCAUUAUAAGUUCACUUGAAAUCAUCUUUUGAAAAUCAUAGCUUUCCUCACAGGC